rnacentral:rRNA from 1 species
ACGGGUGAGUAACGCGUGGGAAUCUACCCAACUCUACGGAAUAACCCAGGGAAACUUGGACUAAUACCGUAUACGUCCUCCGGGAGAAAGAUUUAUCGGAGUUGGAUGAGCCCGCGUUGGAUUAGCUAGUUGGUGGGGUAAUGGCCUACCAAGGCGACGAUCCAUAGCUGGUCUGAGAGGAUGAUCAGCCACAUUGGGACUGAGACACGGCCCAAACUCCUACGGGAGGCAGCAGUGGGGAAUAUUGGACAAUGGGCGAAAGCCUGAUCCAGCCAUGCCGCGUGAGUGAUGAAGGCCCUAGGGUUGUAAAGCUCUUUCAACGGUGAAGAUAAUGACGGUAACCGUAGAAGAAGCCCCGGCUAACUUCGUGCCAGCAGCCGCGGUAAUACGAAGGGGGCUAGCGUUGUUCGGAAUUACUGGGCGUAAAGCGCACGUAGGCGGACAUUUAAGUCAGGGGUGAAAUCCCGGGGCUCAACCCCGGAACUGCCUUUGAUACUGGGUGUCUAGAGUCCGGAAGAGGUGAGUGGAAUUCCGAGUGUAGAGGUGAAAUUCGUAGA